rnacentral:rRNA from 1 species
UUCUAAGGGCGUUGAAGCAUGAUCGCAAGGACAUGUGGAGCGCUUAGAAGUGAGAAUGCCGGUGUGAGUAGCGAAAGACGGGUGAGAAUCCCGUCCACCGAUUGACUAAGGUUUCCAGAGGAAGGCUCGUCCGCUCUGGGUUAGUCGGGUCCUAAGCUGAGGCCGACAGGCGUAGGCGAUGGAUAACAGGUUGAUAUUCCUGUACCACCAUUAUUCGUUUUAAGCGAUGGGGGGACGCAGUAGGAUAGGCGAAGCGUGCUGUUGGAGUGCACGUCCAAGCAGUGAGAU